rnacentral:rRNA from 1 species
GAUUGCGAUCAUACCAGCACUAAUGCACCGGAUCCCAUCAGAACUCCGCAGUUAAGCGUGCUUGGGCGAGAGUAGUACUAGGAUGGGUGACCCCCCGGGAAGUCCUCUUGUUGCAAUCC